GGCUGCGGCGGCUCCACCCUCUGAGGGGCAGGGCGAGAAGCCAAUGAGAGCAAGUGCGCCGCCCAGGGCGCUCGGCUGCCGGCCGCGGGCGGGGGAGCGCGCUGGGAUGCUGCAGCCUGGGGACAAGAACUUGCUACUGUGUGUGACUGGAAACUUACCCUGAUGUUGUGUUCUGCACUUGAGUGAAGCAGGCAGCGCCACAGUGUGCUAAUGUACUGAGUUGAAAUGAAGUUACAGUGAUGGAUUUUCCUUGAUUAUCACAUUUGAUGCUUCAUCCAAGAAGCAUUUAAAAGACAGGAAGGAAGACAAUACCGCUCAUAAAUACAGGAGUUAUCAAGACAAGCUGAAUGUACAAAAUAGCAUGAUAUAGAAAAGCAGAUGAAUCCUAAUACUCAGAUCAUUGAGAACUGAAACUCUCUCAAGAAUACAUUAUUGCCAUUGUGGAAUGAUGUACCCAGAAAGACAGAGAUGCCAUAUACUGGCCAAACAUGAUCAAGGACAACUGAGACCUGUGAGCAAUUAUGAAGCAAGUGGGGGAAAAGCAGGCCAAGCAGCAAAAAAAAAAAAAAAAAAAGGACAAUGGAAAUGCACAGCAUUCCCAACAGAGCAAAGUGAUAAUGGACUCUUUGAUCACAAACUACCUUAUUACUGUAGAUUACUAGCUAGACUCUUAGGAACUAGCUGAACUGUCGAGCACUAUUGAAGUGACCGUUAUCCUUAUAGACAAAGUAAUGAAGCAUUUCAGCAGGCAUGGCAUCCCAUACUGUAUAGUUUCAGACAAUAGACCCCAGCUGAUUUGCAGCAAAUGUAAGGCCCCAUGGGUCUAGAUGAACCCAGGCCUAGUAGAGCUACCAGGCAGCUGGCCCCUCCAGGCUGCUCCCCAGCAGCGGCUGUAACUGGCUUGCACAUCACUCCCCCUGACACACUCUAGAUACAGACCCCUGGAAGUUCUGCCUCAAGAGUUUGACAGACAGCAUCCCAUGGCUCCUGAUUGGCUCCCUGCCCUAUAUAAACUCAAGGGGCAUUCUAGGAAGUGUU